AACAUCGCGCACCUGCGGGAACCUGCGGAGGGAUCAUUACAGAGUUGCAAAACUCCCUAAACCAUUGUGAACGUUACCUAAACCGUUGCCUCGGCGGGCGGCCCGGGUCCUUCCCGGCGCCCCUCGGCCCUCGCGGGCGCCCGCCGGAGGUAAACCAAACUAUUGCAUUGUAUGGCCUCUCUGAGUCUUCUGUACUGAAUAAGUCAAAACUUUCAACAACGGAUCUCAGAUCGGAAGAGC
rnacentral:misc_RNA from 1 species